AGUCUCCUACUGAACUGUCACGGCAGACCUCUCUGUAUCUAUAUUUAGAGCUGUAUGUCCAUAUAUUUGCCUGAAUGUGUGAGUUCUUGGAAGUAUGGAUUCAUUGCCAGGAGCUGGUGAUUUCCUAAGCAGAGGUCGCUAACUACAAGAAAUGUUACACUCGGACAAGUCCUGCGCUUGGGGAUCCUCUGUACGCCCGUUCACUGGUGCAGGUCUUCUGAACAAAUGCCUCCUGAGGAUUUCUGUGCCUGGAAAAUAUCUGUUAACAGACUGCUUUUACACCUACGCUUGCACCCUCACGACAUGCUCUCUCUCUCUCCCUCUCCUCUUUUCUCUCUUCUCUCCCUUCUCUCCUCUCUCUUAUCUCUCUCUUCUCUCUCUCGUACACAUACUCUGGAAAGCCAGCUACCAUACUGGGAACUGCCCAAUGGAGAGGCCCACAUUCCACAAGGAACUGAUGUCUUCAGCCAAUACCUCGCCAGGACCUGAGGCCUGCUGAGAGUCACGAGUGGCCUUCGUGGGUCCUCUCUCAACGAGCUUGCAGGUGACCACUGCGCCAGCCAAAACCUUGAUGGCAGCCUAUGAGUGAGUGACCCUGAGCCAGAAGACCCAGUUAAGCCAUGCCCAGGAUCCUGACCUGCAGAAACUAUGACAUAAUAAAUUUAUUGUUUUAUGCCACUAA
rnacentral:lncRNA from 1 species